rnacentral:rRNA from 1 species
UUCCGUUGGGGGAACCUGCGGAGGGAUCAUUACAGAGUUAUCUAACUCCCAAACCCAUGUGAACUUACCAUUGUUGCCUCGGCAGAACCUACCCGGUACCUACCCUGUAACGACCUACCCUGUAGUGAGUUACCCGGGAACGGCCUACCCUGUAGUGCGCUGCCGGUGGACUUCUAAACUCUUGUUAAUAAUUGUAAUCUGAGCGUCUUAUUUUAAUAAGUCAAAACUUUCAACAACGGAUCUCUUGGUUCUGGCAUCGAUGAAGAACGCAGCGAAAUGCGAUACGUAAUGUGAAUUGCAGAAUUCAGUGAAUCAUCGAAUCUUUGAACGCACAUUGCGCCCAUUAGUAUUCUAGUGGGCAUGCCUGUUCGAGCGUCAUUUCAACCCUUAAGCCUAGCUUAGUGUUGGGAGUCUACUGAGCAAUCGGUAGUUCCCCAAAUUCAACGGCGGAUCUGUGGUAUCCUCUGAGCGUAGUAAUUUUUAUCUCGCUUUUGUUAGGUGCUGCAGCUCCCAGCCGCUAAACCCCCCAAUUUUAAAUGGUGACCUCGGAUCAGGUAGAUGCCCGGUUGUA